CCUGUGCCUAUAGAUAUUGCAGGUAUGACUGCUAUGUCACAUGUGCAUCAGUAGACAGCAUAGAGGAGAGAAGCUAUGUCUCUCAGUGUUCUGACGUAUGAACAUCCUAAUGAUUAGUAAUCUAACAUU
ensembl:snoRNA